GUGGACCACGUACCUACUACUGCAGUGCUUGACCCGGUCUAAGGACCUGUUUAAUCCCGGAGUUGCCCUUAAUUUGCGACUGGGUUGCUACACAUGCUACGGACGAAGCAUUCUCAUCAAAUACACAAGAGGAAGGAAAUGUGUAGCAUAGUACUACUGAAAACGAAGCAAUGUCAAGUAGCUGCAAGGAUGCCAGUCUGCCUUGAAAAUAAACAAACAAUACAACAAAGUCACAUGAUGAGGAGCAUGUGAGCAGAUUUAACAGAUGAAGUGCGGAAAAAUAGGUCCAAAAAAGAUCUUACAACGUUUCCCGCAAUUACAAUUUCCCCUUGGUACAGAGGAGGAUAAUGUUACACACACAAUUUGAAGAACAUCUUUAAGAUGUCCUGAAUGUCCUACACCAGACGUCUUAAAGACGUCUCUGGGCUAUCUGGGUAUGUAUUUCCACGUGUAUUUCGCAAGUUCCACUUUACCGAUUGAUUUUUAUCGC